UAAUGUUAAAAUGGGUUAUUAUACUAACACACGUGCAUUUGUGUAAUUUAUAGAUUAUCUCCAGGAAAUCCUUACGAAAAACCUAAAACAGCAAUGUGAGUGAUCCUUCUUUUUAUGAACUCAUUUUUGUGAGUGAUUCUUCUUUUUAUGAACUCAUUUUUAUUAUCUCCAGGAAAUCCUUACGAAAAACCUAAAACAGCAAUGUGAGUGAUCCUUCUUUUUAUGAACUCAUUUUUGUGAGUGAUUCUUCUUUUUAU
rnacentral:lncRNA from 1 species